rnacentral:tRNA from 1 species
CGAAAGUUAGCUCAGUGGUAGAGCGAUCGACUGUUAAUCGAUAUGUUGUAGGUUCAACUCCUAUACUUUCUCCCAACCC